rnacentral:tRNA from 1 species
GCAUUAGUGGUUCAGUGGUAGAACUGUGGUCUUCCAUGCCAGAGACUCGGGUUCAAUUCCCAGCCAGUGUA